rnacentral:siRNA from 1 species
UGAGUUAUGGGUUGACCCAACCCA